UACGGAGGUUGCAAGCGUUGUUCGGAAUAACUGGGCGUAAAGGGAGCGCAGGCGGCUUGGUAAGUCUAAAGUGAAAUUCCAGGGCUCAACCCUGGACGUGCUUUGGAUACUGCCUGGCUUGAGUACGUGAGAGGAGAUUGGAAUUCCAGGUGUAGCGGUGAAAUGCGUAGAUAUCUGGAGGAACACCGGUGGCGAAAGCGGAUCUCUGGCACGUUACUGACGCUGAGGCUCGAAAGCAUGGGGAGCAAACGGGAUUAGAUACCCCGGUAGUCCAUGCCGUAAACGUUGUGCGCUAGGUGUAGGAGGUAUCGACCCCUUCUGUGCCGCAGCUAACGCAUUAAGCGCACCGCCUGGGGAGUACGGUCGCAAGACUGAA
rnacentral:rRNA from 1 species